rnacentral:rRNA from 1 species
AGCAAACGCCGGCGGCGUGCCUAAUACAUGCAAGUCGAACGGGGAAAGCUUUCGGGUGAGUACUAGUGGCGCACGGGUGAGUAACGCGUGGAUAAUCUGCCUUAGAGUGGGGGAUAACUAGUCGAAAGAUUAGCUAAUACCGCAUAAGACCACAAGAACUGCGGUUCAAGGGGUCAAAGGUUUUUCGCUCUAAGAUGAGUCCGCGUAAGAUUAGCUAGUUGGUAGGGUAACGGCCUACCAAGGCGACGAUCUUUAACUGGUCUGAGAGGAUGAUCAGUCACACUGGAGCUGAGACACGGUGCAGACGCCUACGGGAGGCAGCAGUAGGGAAUAUUGCACAAUGGAGGAAACUCUGAUGCAGCGACGCCGCGUGAGUGAUGAAGGCCUUCGGGUCGUAAAGCUCUGUCGCAGGGGAAUAACACAAUGAAGGUACCCUGUAAGAAAGGAUCGGCUAACUUCGUGCCAGCCGCCGCUGUAACAC